AUCACUUCUCAGCCUUUUGGCUAAGAUCAAGUGUAAUAUCUGUUCUUAUCAGUUUAAUAUCUGACACAGCUUCUAUCUGAGGACAAUAUAUUAAGUGGAAUUUUGGAGCUGGGAGAUGGAACAGGGGCUUGCUCUGACUACUGACGCAUUGACCCUGGUAUUGCAAUACUUCCCAAAAUGGUGCAUUCCGC
rnacentral:snRNA from 1 species